rnacentral:rRNA from 1 species
UACGAAGGGUGCGAGCGUUGUCCGGAAUUACUGGGCGUAAAGAGCUCGUAGGUGGUUUGUCGCGUUGUCCGUGAAAACUCACAACUCAAUUGUGGGCGUGCGGGCGAUACGGGGCAGACUGGAGUACUGCAGGGGAGACUGGAAUUCCUGGUGUAGCGGUGGAAUGCGCAGAUAUCAGGAGGAACACCGGUGGCGAAGGCGG